AUUGAACGCUGGCGGCAGGCCUAACACAUGCAAGUCGAACGGUAGCACAGAGAGCUUGCUCUCGGGUGACGAGUGGCGGACGGGUGAGUAAUGUCUGGGAAACUGCCCGAUGGAGGGGGACAACUACUGGAAACGGUAGCUAAUACCGCAUAAUGUCGCAAGACCAAAGAGGGGGACCUUCGGGCCUCUUGCCAUCGGAUGUGCCCAGAUGGGAUUAGCUUGUUGGUGAGGUAAUGGCUCACCAAGGCGACGAUCCCUAGCUGGUCUGAGAGGAUGACCAGCCACACUGGAACUGAGACACGGUCCAGACUCCUACGGGAGGCAGCAGUGGGGAAUAUUGCACAAUGGGCGCAAGCCUGAUGCAGCCAUGCCGCGUGUGUGAAGAAGGCCUUCGGGUUGUAAAGCACUUUCAGCGGGGAGGAAGGCGAUACGGUUAAUAACCGUGUUGAUUGACGUUACCCGCAGAAGAAGCACCGGCUAACUCCGUG
rnacentral:rRNA from 1 species